rnacentral:misc_RNA from 1 species
AAAAAAAGCUUGUUGCUCAAACAAUGUGACAGUGUCACCUCAGAAUAUGAUAAUUAAAUCUUGCUCUAAGAAUCCUAAAGAUAAUACAUAGACAAAGUAAGUGCAUGCAUAUUUUACAAUAAUAUGACAGUUAUAGCUUACAAGAAAAUCUCCUCCAUGCAUUACAAGGGUGAGAUCAUUGAAAGCCGUAAAGAACUUUCCUAGGAUCCAACUGCCCACUGCAAUAACUUGAUGACACAUUAGAGAGUUCUUGGUGGCCCUUCCACUCUUCAAAAGGUUUCAAGACAAUUGGGGUUUCAAUAGCAGCAGAAUCCACACAUAUCAUUGUUUUAUAUUCCUCAUCUCCCAAAUCUUGGAGAGCCUUGGCCUUUUUGUCCCAAGGAUUCCACAGAACUGCAACGUUAAUGAUAUCCAAGAGUCACAAAACUAUCAGAAUAAAAAUAAGAAGUAGAAAACAAUCAGAUACGAUUAGGGCAUCAGGAUAACAUUUUAGCACCUGCAUCAGGCAUGCCAUCCUUCCGCAGCACAAAGGUUCUCUUCUUCUCAUGGUCAAUAAUAGCAAUCUUUGUAGGGGUGCUCAAAUAUACCCUAUCAAUCUGAUAAAUACAUGAGCAAUGUGAAAAGGGAAAUACUUCAAUACAUAUGUGAACUCAAAUGAAGGGAUUCAGAGAAACUGUAUGAAACCAUAAACUAUUAGUAAACGGUGGCCAGUACUAUUGUAGUUUCCCUCCAAUAAAUUUACAUAAAGGUUGAAAGCAUAAGAACAAUAAAAUGUAAUACCUCGGCAUCAAACGUAAUUGCAUCUGCCUGCUCAGUGAAUCUUUCUCUGUGCAUUAGAUUAUCAAAAUAAUCAAGAGUCUCCAAGCCCUCAACACGCACUUCACUGCAAAUAAACAGCAUCAUGCAAUGUAACCCAUCUGUAAAGGAUGGAAAUGAAACAUCUUCCAAAUUGAUCUUUUAAUAAGAGAUGCUUUCUACAAGUCACGACAAGAAUUUAGCAUAUAUGCUGAUGGCAAAAGUGUGUAAAAAUAUGCAAAAUGCAGAGAAAAUGGGACUUUGUCAUCAAGAGAAUGGCAACAGAGACAAACUUCACCGUAUCUGUGUGUGCCAUUACGAACAAAUAGAGAUUUUGAAAAUUCAUAAGACAAACCUGAUAUCUGACACAGACAAGUAGUUACAGAGUGCAAAUGUAAAAGAGAAGGCCUUGUUAUCUGUAUUUCUCACACGAGGGAUCAAAGUGAGCUUCCCAGGACUGAGAGAGAUACGAAGUCGCAACUCAAAGCCACGUGGCCAAGUCUUCACAUCCUCUUCUGUGGACUUCAGUAUCAGAUCCACUGAUGACUGGUUAUUCACUGGGGACAAAGGUGAAGGAUCACUAUCCAGUGACCACAAUCUGUUCCUUGCAAAUCCAUGCCGAUCAAGAGCACCACUACCAAAUUGAGGAAAGCAGAUUGUAAUACCUCCACGGAUAGCCUUUGGAGGCUUAAAUAUAGCCUUGCUACUAACAAAAAGCAAUUCUUCCCGAUGUUCAUUCUUCCAAGAUGUGACUUGACCUCCAUACAAGUAGAUCUCGGCAGAACAGCCACGAACCUCACGCAAGAUGACCUUGUCGAGGCCAUUAAUGCCCUUACAGUGCUCGACGUACUUGCUGUCCUCAGACAUUUCUCCCCUUACACAGUGUGUACGUUUCUAAUAAAAUUAAGCAAAUGAAUCUGAAGGAUUGGAAAGGGCGAGAAAAGGUAGAAAGGGUGAAGGAAUUUAAGAGAAUGGGAGAUCAUCUUAUCUCAUCUUUUUCCAUUUCUAUACGAGUCCACUGUUCAAAG